rnacentral:rRNA from 1 species
GUGCCACGCCGCGGUAAUACGGCAGGAUCCAAGCGUUAUCCGGUAAUCAUUGGGUUUAAAGGGUCCGUAGGUGGACGGUUAAGUCAGGGGUGAAAGUCUGCAGCUCAACUGUAGAAUUGCCUUUGAUACUGGUCGUCUUGAGUUAUUGUGAAGUGGUUAGAAUAUGUAGUGUAGCGGUGAAAUGCAUAGAUAUUACAUAGAAUACCGAUUGCGAAGGCAGAUCACUAACGAUACACUGGACACUGGAUGGACGAAAGCGUGGGUAGCGAACAGGAUUAGAUACCCUGGUAGUCCACGCCGUAAACGAUGGAUACUAGCUGUUCGGCGCAAGCUGAGUGGCUAAGCGAAAGUGAUAAGUAUCCCACCUGGGGAGUACGGGCGCAAGCCUGAAACUCAAAGGAAUUGACGGGGGCCCGCACAAGCGGUGGAGCAUGUGGUUUAAUUCGAUGAUACGCGAGGAACCUUACCAGGGUUUAAAUGUAGAUUGCAUUAGGUGGAGACACCUAUUUCUUCGGACCAUCUACAAGUGCUGCAUGGUUGUCGUCAGCUCGUG